CACGCCGCGUGCGGGAUGACGGCCUUCGGGUUGUAAACCGCUUUCGCCUGUGACGAAGCGUGAGUGACGGUAAUGGGUAAAGAAGCACCGGCUAACUACGUGCCAGCAGCCGCGGUGAUACGUAGGGUGCGAGCGUUGUCCGGAUUUAUUGGGCGUAAAGGGCUCGUAGGUGGUUGAUCGCGUCGGAAGUGUAAUCUUGGGGCUUAACUCUGAGCGUGCUUUCGAUACGGGUUGACUUGAGGAAGGUAGGGGAGAAUGGAAUUCCUGGUGGAGCGGUGGAAUGCGCAGAUAUCAGGAGGAACACCAGUGGCGAAGGCGGUUCUCUGGGCCUUUCCUGACGCUGAGGAGCGAAAGCGUGGGGAGCGAACAGGCUUAGAUACCCUGGUAGUCCACGCUGUAAACGGUGGGUACUAGGUGUGGGGUCCAUUCCACGGGUUCCGUGCCGUAGCUAACGCUUUAAGUACCCCGCCUGGGGAGUACGGCCGCAAGGCUAAAACUCAAAGGAAUUGACGGA
rnacentral:rRNA from 1 species